GCGGCCUGAACAUGAUUAGAAGAUGUGGCAGUCCAUAAUUUCCAUGUGAAAUACAGAGACUUGGACUUGGCGCGCAAUGAGUUAAGAGAUCAGCUCAUAGUUAGAUGAAUCAUGGGUGACGCAAUAAGUCUCUUUCUCUCAGACCAACCAGGAAGGUGAAGCAUGGACAAGCAAUAGCAAACUGCAAAUUGUGCUGUUUACAAAUAGAGUCCCUGUUCCUAUUUUCUGUUCUUUUAACUGUUUCUUCAGCAAAAAUAAGAUACGUCACUAAAUUAACACAGUAAUUAUCUCA